GAAUUAUAGUUAAAAGCAGUUUCCAUAUAACAACAUAACUACUGGAAUAACAAAAACAGACCUCUGCUGUACACAAUGUUAAACUAAUACUAUAUGUCCUGAGCGAUAACCAUUAUAUUUAUAUGAUUUAUAAAUGAGCAAAAAAGCUAAUCGAUCAAAAUUUGCCGUCUGGAAUAUUCCAUUUAUGUGUUUUGUGGAUUAAAGGCAUGUAUCAUUACCAUGGCAACAAAAAACCCUGGUACACAACGUACAUUCACAACUUUAUGAUGAACUAAAUUGGUAGUUUGUGAGAUAAAUUCACGUGCAUGUCUCACAUGUAACAACUUUCACAACAUUCGUGUUAUCAACCACAUUAAACCACAAAAAGUCAAACAUUCUACGCAUUGAAAACAAAUGAUAAUGAACUUGGUUAAAAUACACGUGAGAGCGUCGUAUCAAAGCACGGAAUAAUCACAUUUUCAUCAGUUCACUUAGCUACGCCAGUCUGACAACAAACAAUAUAUCUUUACCGAUACUAAGAAGAGUUAGUGGAGCUGUGCAACAGAGCGAAAUGGGAUUUUCUCUGGAAACAACGGAAACGUCAAACAAAUGUUUUCACUGAUCCAAAAAUUGCAAAAGCAUCGUCUCAAGGAUCAAAGGUGUGAUCCUGAAAUUAUUAAAAAAGCAGACGAGAAUCGACUCUUCAAAAGGAUUAUUUACUAUCAAUCCAAGAGAAUGGAAGACCAACGUUGCAACAUGUCGUCCAACGUAGCAAAGGAUCAGCUCUAAGAAUGUUAUUAAAGAGAUAUAAACAGCUAAGGUUAAUCAUUUGCCUCGUCACAUUUUGACCACAAUAGUCAGAGAUGUCAAUGAACAAACUUACUUAUAUCAGGUAGACGUUUAGUACAUCACCUGUAAAGAGAGGAUUGAGCUGCUAAGAUGUGGUAACGCUAAAAUCAGUUACUCCAAAGAGAUUGUCCCAUAUUACAAAUCUUGGAAUGCCAAUAUAAAAC